GAGCCCGGAUAGCUCAGUCGGUAG
rnacentral:piRNA from 8 species